CCUCAAGGUGCUUACCUAAGAUGAGCUUUGUGAUUGGAAUGCAAAGGGGCAUCAAACGGACUCCGAAUCGCAUUAGAGAAGAUAAGCAGUUAUCAGAUGGUUUGACUGAUUGGGUGGUUUUGAUUUUACAAAUUUUACAAAAGGGCUGGAGAAUCUCCCAAUGUUUUUGCCCAAGAAGGCAACCUCCAGAUCACUGAAUGUUAUCCACUGUAAUCACGGGAUCAUCUCUCUCUUUUCUAAAAUGGAAGAUGUGCGACAAAGUAAGUUUCUUUUAGGAUUUUCUUUCAAGAUGCCACCUUUCAUUUCUAAAAGUAAAAUUCCAAGCUGAAUUGAGAGCCAGCGGCAAUGCCUCCUAAUGUGAAAAUUCUCAUGGAUUAAAAAAAAAAAGAGAGAGAUCCUCAACUGCUCCCAAAACAUACUAAUCAUUUUUAAUCAACCUGAUUUUUUUUUUUCCCUUUCUGACUAAAGACAUUCUCAGCAUUUGGAAAAACCCAUUCACCAACAAGUUGUAACAGUCAUUAUAAUCAUAAAGAUGACAAGGAUUUUAAAAGCCAGAUGCUAACCUGGUGACAAAGAGCUUAACAGGACUCGUGGGCCAAGAAGCCCAGGGAGAUUUUGAGUCUGCAGUGAGUGAUUUGAAGGGAAAUCCUGACUCCAAUUAUAAAGCAAAGACAAAAUCCUCUCAGUCCUUUCAAACCAUCCAACUUCUCUGACCAAAUUGUAUUGUUUCUCCUCCCCACAGCCUCCCCCCUCCAGCAUUUCCAUAAACAAUAUAACCAUCGGACCAAACCCCUCGGUCAGCAAAUAAAGGCAAAGAGCUAAGUAAAUUUGCUUCCCAGAAAUUAUUUUUGUGAGGUCAUGGAGUUAAGCAUUAAAAGCGUACUACUGCAAA